rnacentral:rRNA from 1 species
GGGGGGGGGGGGGGGGGGGGGGGGGGGGGGGGGGGGGGGGGGGGGGGGGGGGCGGGGGGGGGGUGGGCGGGUGGGGGGCGGGUGGGUAACGCGGGGGUGACGUGCCCGGGCGUUUGGGAUAACUGGCGGAAGCGGGGGCUGAUCGCGGGUCGGCGCGCCAGAUGGCUGGGGGGGGUGGGAACGUAUCGGCGGGUGGGGAUGGACUCGCGGCGUAUCAGCUUGUUGGUGGGGUCGUGGCUUACCACGGCUGUGACGGGUAGCCGGCCUGAGAGGGUGACCGGCCACAUUGGGACUGAGAGACGGCCCAGACUCCUACGGGAGGCAGCAGUGGGGAAUAUUGCACAAUGGGCGGAAGCCUGAUGCAGCAACGCCGCGGGCGGGAUGACGGCCUUCGGGUUGUAAACCGCUUUCGCCUGUGACGAAGCGUGAGUGACGGUAAUGGGUAAAGAAGCACCGGCUAACUACGUG